GAUGAAGAACGUAGCGAAAUGCGAUAAGUAAUGUGAAUUGCAGAAUUCAGUGAAUCAUCGAAUCUUUGAACGCACAUUGCGCCCGCCAGUAUUCUGGCGGGCAUGCCUGUUCGAGCGUCAUUUCAACCCUCAAGCCCAGCUUGGUGUUGGGGAUCGGCACAGGCGCCCUCGGGCGCCCGCCGUCCCCUAAAUCUAGUGGCGGACCCGUCGUGGCCUCCUCUGCGAAGUAGUGAUAUUCCGCAUCGGAGAGCGAUGAGCCCCUGCCGUUAAACCCCCAACUUUCCAAGGUUGACCUCAGAUCAGGUAGGAAUACCCGCUGAACUUAAGCAUAUCAAUAAGCGGAGGA
rnacentral:misc_RNA from 1 species